CCUACGGGACGCAGCAGUGGGGGAUAUUGCACAAUGGGGGAAACCCUGAUGCAGCGACGCCGCGUGAGUGAAGAAGUAUUUCGGUAUGUAAAUCUCUAUCAGCAGGGAAGAAAAUGACAGUACCUGACCAAGAAGCCCCGGCUAACUACGUGCCAGCAGCCGCGGUAAUACGUAGGGGGCAAGCGUUAUCCGGAUUUACUGGGUGUAAAGGGAGCGCAGGCGGUGCGGCAAGUCUGAUGUGAAAGCCCGGGGCUCAACCCCGGGACUGCAUUGGAAACUACCGAACUAGAGUGUCGGAGAGGUAA
rnacentral:rRNA from 1 species